rnacentral:lncRNA from 1 species
AGCGUGGUAGGUUAAGUGAGUUGCUUGGAAAUAAUCAACAAUCCCGAAUUAAUUACGAAAGCGCUCUUGCUGUUCAACCUGAACAUAAGUCUGCAGCCCAAAGAUUGGGAAUGAUGUAUUUUGAUGAAGGAGAAUUAUGUUUGGCAGAGAAAACUUUACGUAGGUGUGUUCAAAAAGAUACUACCAAUCAUACGGCGUGGAAUGACUUAGGCACUGUGUUGGAAUCUUGUGGUCAAUAUAAUGAAGCGGCUAGUUGUUACGUGAUAUCUCUGCAGCUUGAAUCCACAUCACCUAUAAUACAAUAUACAUCUUUGCCACGCUUUUUUAAAAUUUGAUAGGAGCAGUUUUUGAAUCGUAUUUUUAUAAAAAGAAAGAUUUAAUCUUAG